rnacentral:piRNA from 1 species
GCCUUGAUACAAGGCCUCGGGACCGCACC